UACGGAGGGUGCAAGCGUUAUCCGGAUUCACUGGGUUUAAAGGGUGCGUAGGAGGGCAGGUAAGUCAGUGGUGAAAUCUCCGAGCUUAACUUGGAAACUGCCGUUGGUACUAUCUGUCUUGAAUAUUGUGGAGGUGAGCGGAAUAUGUCAUGUAGCGGUGAAAUGCUUAGAUAUGACAUAGAACACCAAUUGCGAAGGCAGCUCGCUACACAUAUAUUGACUCUGAGGCACGAAAGCGUGGGGAUCAAACAGG
rnacentral:rRNA from 1 species